rnacentral:rRNA from 1 species
UACGAGGGGGGCAAGCGUUGUUCGGAAUCAUUGGGCGUAAAGCGCACGUAGGCGGCCUGUUAAGUCGGAUGUGAAAGCCCCGGGCUCAACCCGGGAAGUGCAUUCGAAACUGGCGGGCUUGAAUAUGGAAGAGGGUCGCGGAAUUCCCGGUGUAGAGGUGAAAUUCGUAGAUAUCGGGAGGAACACCAGUGGCGAAGGCGGCGACCUGGGCCAAUAUUGACGCUGAGGUGCGAAAGCGUGGGGAGCAAACAGG